rnacentral:rRNA from 1 species
CCUCGGGGUAAUGCCCUUAGUUACGGCGAGUGAAGCGGCAAAAGCUCAAAUUUGAAAUCUGGCACCUUCGGUGUCCGAGUUGUAAUUUGAAGAAGGUAACUUUGGAGUUGGCUCUUGUCUAUGUUCCUUGGAACAGGACGUCACAGAGGGUGAGAAUCCCGUGCGAUGAGAUGCCCAAUUCUAUGUAAAGUGCUUUCGAAGAGUCGAGUUGUUUGGGAAUGCAGCUCUAAGUGGGUGGUAAAUUCCAUCUAAAGCUAAAUAUUGGCGAGAGACCGAUAGCGAACAAGUACAGUGAUGGAAAGAUGAAAAGAACUUUGAAAAGAGAGUGAAAAAGUACGUGAAAUUGUUGAAAGGGAAGGGCUUGAGAUCAGACUUGGUAUUUUGCGAUCCUUUCCUUCUUGGUUGGGUUCCUCGCAGCUUACUGGGCCAGCAUCGGUUUGGAUGGUAGGAUAAUGACUAAGGAAUGUGGCUCUACUUCGGUGGAGUGUUAUAGCCUUGGUUGAUACUGCCUGUCUAGACCGAGGACUGCGUCUUUUGACUAGGAUGUUGGCAUAAUGAUCUUAAGCCACCCGUCUAAAACCCGGGGACAAAAAAAAAAUAUAAAAAUAA